GUACGGGGACAACAACACACUGUACAUCACCCGGAGAGAGACUACCUUCCCGGGGAUCAGCAUGUCACAUUGCGCUAAAUGUCAUCGGGUCCCCGUUAUAGGAUGCUUACUCAAUUGUCAUAAUUUCUUUAACCCUCUGACCGCGGGCAACGCGCAAAUCCCGUUUCUCUUGUUUCGCGAGGUUUUCUGGGGCUCGACACAAUUGCGUCGCACUUUGUUGAUGGGGUGUCCGAGCUCUUUGGCCCGGUUCUAGGCUUCCCGAAUGAUGACCUCCUUUGUUCCUGUCGCUGCUGGGCUUUCUUGGGAAAUCAUUGGAUCUUAAUCGGAAGAUGCACUGUGUUCGGAUUGCGGAUUUUAUGCGUUUACGACAGAAAUGGAUGGGAGAAAUGUGAAGAAGUGGAAAGAUGUAUAAAAAUGUGACAAGUGAGAACAUUGACGUAAUAUAAAAAUAUAUGAAAAGUGAGGACAUUCAUAUAAUAUAGAAGUACGAAAAGUGAGAACAUCGAUAAAAUAUAAAAAUCUGGAACAUGAAAGGAUUGACAUGAUAUAAGAAUAUGAAAAGUGAAAACGUUAAAAGAAACCAAAGAAUGUUGACGUAUUAAUUUCAACGUACUAAAAUUGUUUAGAAAGGAGUAAAGUUGCAUUUGGCUCCUAUGUUUUGCAAUUCAUGCGGACAGGUUUUAUUUUUCAUGAAGAUUCACACUCAAAUUAUAAUUAAAAUUUUGGCGUGCCUAAAUAAAUUGAUCCUGUCGUCGAUAUAAAAAACAACACUGCUUAACAGUGAAAAGUGAACUAUAAAACAAGUUGAUUUAGGGCAAUUUUUGGAAGGUGGUUUUUAAAUUUCAAAUACGGUUUUUAAUAGCAGAAUUAAUACGCGAACAUGGAUUAGUUGUUUAAUUUAAAACGGUGACGUAUUGACGUGAAAUCAUCACAUAAGCAUAUUGUGAUAAAACUAAUUUUCACGGAACAGGGAAAUGGUGACAUGCAAGUCUAUACUGUGCUAUUCUAUGUGCCAGCAUAUAUGCAAACUGUUCGAUGAUAACACACUUUAUGUGGUUUGAAAUUAUAUUUCCUGAACAAAAUAAUAAGUGAUAAUUGAUAUGUCA